rnacentral:rRNA from 1 species
UACGUAGGGGGCAAGCGUUGUCCGGAAUCAUUGGGCGUAAAGAGCGUGUAGGCGGUCCGGUAAGUCGGCUGUGAAAGUCCAGGGCUCAACCCUGGGAUGCCGGUCGAUACUGCCGGACUAGAGUUCGGAAGAGGCGAGUGGAAUUCCCGGUGUAGCGGUGAAAUGCGCAGAUAUCGGGAGGAACACCUAUGGCGAAGGCAGCUCGCUGGGACGUUACUGACGCUGAGACGCGAAAGCCAGGGGAGCGAACGGG